rfam:Ovis aries breed Texel chromosome 6, whole genome shotgun sequence.
UCCCUGGUGGUCCAGGGGCUAAGACUCUGUGCUUCCAAUGCAGGGGGCCUGGGUUUGAUUCCUGGUCAGGGAA